GGAAUCUUGCGCAAUGGGCGAAAGCCUGACGCAGCCAUGCCGCGUGAAUGAUGAAGGUCUUAGGAUUGUAAAAUUCUUUCACCGGGGACGAUAAUGACGGUACCCGGAGAAGAAGCCCCGGCUAACUUCGUGCCAGCAGCCGCGGUAAUACGAAGGGGGCUAGCGUUGCUCGGAAUUACUGGGCGUAAAGGGAGCGUAGGCGGACAGUUUAGUCAGAGGUGAAAGCCCAGGGCUCAACCUUGGAAUUGCCUUUGAUACUGACUGUCUUGAGUAUGGGAGAGGUUAGCGGAACUCCGAGUGUAGAGGUGAAAUUCGUAGAUAUUCGGAAGAACACCAGUGGCGAAGGCGGCUAACUGGCCCAUUACUGACGCUGAGGCUCGAAAGCGUGGGGAGCAAAC
rnacentral:rRNA from 1 species